UGAUGGAAAGACGCUGCAACAUCCCGUUUCUUUUAAUCGGUGAUCCUGCAUAUCCACUGCUUCUAUGACUAAUAAAGGGAUACACGCAACAACGAAGGUUAACGACCGCGGAAUUGACGUUUAGUUCAUAGUUAAGUGGUGCAAGAGUCUCACGAGUAUAUUAAUAUGUUGGAUUUAAUUAAAAAUAUAAAUAAAAGAGAAUGAAUUAAUAAAUAAGGAGACACAGUCUGAAGCCUACAGCCUAUGUUAGCUCGCUUAUAAAGAGACUUGAAAUUUUUCAGAAGCUAUAUAAAUGACUGCAAGCAAACCCCUGAAAAUUGUACUAUAAACUGUAUAGCAAAACGUUCAGUAAUUUAAAGCGGAUCUCAAGACAGUACAAAUUUUUUAAAGGCUAUGAAAAGUAUACUUGAUGAUGGACGUUAUAUUAGCUUGCUUAUUAAGACAGUGACUGCAAACCAUCAAGAAUUUUCCUACAAAUUCUACAGAAACACGUUUAGUGCAUUAGGGCAAUUUUAUAUACCAACAAUAUGAAAGUGGGCAGGUCAAUGUCAGGCAUGGAUGGAAACAAUAUUCAAGGUCAUAAUCCAACAACCUUGGAGUGCGUCAGGCAAAUAUUCUAUGGAAACUUUUGUUUGCUGAGGCGUGAGGAGAGUGAAGAAUGCACUUCCUUAGAUAAAAUUUAUGACGGAUUGUCUAGCAUUCGGAUAACAUAGUACUGUGAACAAAUAGUGUCUAGAUGAGUAUUUAUCAUUAAAUACUGUAGCUACGACGUUUGACUCUAGUUAAAUCAACGCAAAGCUUGAGAAUAUUAACACGACCUGAUGGCCGUCAGCUGAUUGUUGAGGUACAUUAAAUCAAAUAGCAGAAAAGUUAAAAAUGAUAAUUUACUCAGUUCACCAUCACCGACCAAUGAAAAAAUAUUCUCAAGCUUCGAGUAGAUCCAACUAAUGCUGAACGUCGUGGCUACGGUAUAUAAUGAUCAUUUACACCAUUAACGCAGUCCAAUAGUCGUUAUCCAAUUGUUCAGUAAUAUCCAGUCGAGCAUUA